GGAGAGAGAACACCAAAGGAUCACAACUCAAUGUCAACAGCAUCAUGAAGCACAGGCAUCAAGUGUCCCAUGGAGUGUCCCCACUCUAGCUGGGGAGUGUUAAGAAAAGCCUCAGAGAGGCAGGAAGAUUUGACCAACAUUUUGAUGAUGGAAUUAAGGUUUUCCAGGUGGAGGACUCCUGGUCUAUGUGGGCUACAGGUGGGAUCUGGGUAUGUGAAACCUGCAUGCAACAAUCCUGCACCAGACACAUACACAGAAUACUUUGUGGUUCUACGUGAGUCCUAGAAACAUCAGCAUGAGUUGCUGCUUUCUGGAAGUUCUUACAGCUACUAGCAUGUAUAUUAGAGCAGUAUGGUCUGUGGACCACGUGUAAAUGUUGCAAAACUACAAAUGCCUGUGCCCCAUCCAAGGCCUAUAUCAGAACCUCUGGCUGAGGCCUGGGAUUCUGUCCAUGUAAUGACAUUUCCAGGUGAUUCCUAAACACAUUAACAUUUAAGAACAGGAAAUGGGAGUAUAGGCAGAGGCUUGCAAAGAGGAAGGAGAAGUGAGAAAAAAGCUGAAAUUUGAGUCAUUUUAUUUAAAAUUGUAUUGGAGGGUGAGCAUAAGGGUUAACAUGGGAUUUGAGGAGUAAUGUGGAUUUAACUACAUUUGCCAACUAUUCUUCCUUCCUGUCUCUCAAUUUUUAUGACUUGGAUCUAGGUGCAGGUCUCUGUGUUCUCUUGCCUAGACUAGUUAGUGUGCAGGCAUCUUCACACAUUUUUUUUCCUGUCUGAGUCUCUACCUAGGCACCUUAUCCCUGCUGACAGCGGCAUUUCCUGAUCCUCCUCCUUAAUCAAGGAUUCCUCAGCCCUAGGACAGCCAGUCAGACUGGAGCCGUGACCUACAGCUUUCACCCAGAGUACCAUGAAAACUCUAUCAGUUCUGGGCUCCUGACUACAAAGAUGCCUGGUGACUCAAGUUAUGUCAAAUAACGGGGGAUUAACUGUGAGGACACAAGUGGAAAGACAGAAUCAGGGCCACUUGGCCAGGGCCCCUGGGAAUACUGACAAAGUCAGACCUCAUGUUUGAUUGAGACAGAGUCUCGCUGUGUGGCCCAGAAUGGAGUGAAGUGGCACAAUCUCGGCUCACCGCAAGCUCUGCCUCCCGGGUUCAUGCCAUCCUCCUGCCUCAGCCUCCCGAGUAGCUGGGACUACAGGUGCCCAUCACCACACCUGGCUAAUUUUUUGUAUUUUUAGUAGAGAUGGGGUUUCACCAUGUUAGCCAGGAUGGUCUCGAUCUCCUGACCUUGUGAUCCACGCGUCUCGGCCUCCCAAAGUCCUGGGAUUACAGGCGUGAGCCACUGCGCCCGUCCGAAAAAUCUAUUUUUAAUUUUUCUUAAAAGAAUAAGAAAACCUAGUGUUUCAUAUAACUUAUUCAACUUUAAUAUCUUGGCUGAGAAUGCACGCAUUCAAUGAAAUGUCAUCAUCGAGCACUUUUAACAAAGAAGUACUUACGCCAUGAUGCCUGAGAGGUGAAACAUUUCAGCUGUGAUGUAGGACAAAUAACUGUACAGGAAAACAAACAGUGGCUCGAUCACUCGGAUAUUAUGGGUGAAUCGAGUAGUAAAUGCCGCUAUAAAGCCCAAGAAGAUGCCAAUCAGCACCCCACCGAUUCCCACAACAAAGAAGUUGGCGAUUCCUGCAAACACAUCAAUGGUCUCAAUGGUUUUCAUCUGGCAAAACGACUUGAACAAGUUGUACAGGACCUGCAGGAAAAAGAAAACACCUUGUCAAGACCCUUUCCCAUUUCCCCAUUGUCACUCUGGGCACAAACACAUCUACCUGGACUUCUAAUAAGGACAUUCCUUCUGUGUACCCAAGUAGGAAAGUGACAAUCAUUGUGUAUUCAUUUGUCUCAUAUUUUAAUACUGUAGCUUUAAACUAACCAAAAAACCUUUCAAUAAAAGUGAGUUGUCAGGGAAUUUAUUUCUAAAAGUAA